rnacentral:rRNA from 1 species
UACAGAGGUCCCAAGCGUUGUUCGGAUUCACUGGGCGUAAAGGGUGCGUAGGCGGUCGGGUAAGUCUGACGUGAAAUCUUCAAGCUUAACUUGGAAACUGCGUCGGAUACUAUUCGGCUAGAGGAAUGGAGGGGAGACUGGAAUACUUGGUGUAGCAGUGAAAUGCGUAGAUAUCAAGAGGAACACCAGUGGCGAAGGCGAGUCCCUGGACGAUACCUGACACUGAGGCACGAAAGCUAGGGGAGCAAACAGG